rnacentral:rRNA from 1 species
AUACGGAGGGUGCGAGCGUUAAUCGGAAUUACUGGGCGUAAAGCGUGCGUAGGCGGUUUGCUAAGUCAGAUGUGAAAGCCCCGGGCUUAACCUGGGAACUGCAUUUGAUACUGGCAGACUAGAGUAUGAUAGAGGGGGGUAGAAUUCCUGGUGUAGCGGUGAAAUGCGUAGAUAUCAGGAGGAAUACCAGUGGCGAAGGCGGCCCCCUGGAUCAAUACUGACGCUGAGGUACGAAAGCGUGGGGAGCAAACAGGAUUAGAUACCCUAGUAGUCC